UGGAGACAGCCCUUCACAUCAGCGCCGUGAGGGCAGGUUUCAAAACACUUUAUUCUCUACUCCUGUGACCUGAGAAAGCCACCAUCUUCGCACUGGGCUGCCUUAGAGAAAGGUCGUGGCAGGUGAUCUGUGCCGGGAGCCGGGGAGCCUGCCCUUGCCCAGCUGCCCUGAGCUCUUGUAGGAACGCAGCGCGCGCUCUUGUGGUGGAACGCGCACCAGGCACAGCAUCUGGCACGUAGAAGGGAAACGAGUGUGAAAAAAGAAUUGGGACCACCAGGGAGACAUGCCACAGAGUCAUCAGGGAGGACCACCAAACAUCCUUCCAGCUACCAGUUAAAGCAUUGAUAAUGUUGGCAGGCCUCUACAGCAGCUGAAUCAAGAAAGCAGAACUGCGGGGACUCUCACCCAGCAAUUAACGGUCUCAGCCCAGCAUUGAGGCACGUCCCUCCUGCUCACAACUGAUUGGCUAGAAUUAGUCACAUGACCUCAUCCGACCAGGAGGGUCCAGGAAGUGCAAUCCAGCCAUGUGUCCAGAGGGGGAGAAUCAGCUUAUGGGUCCUUUUAGUGACUCGAAAGCCAAGACCCUCUUUGGGAACAGUUUGGAGGAGCUACAGCUCUGAGGAGUUCCAGAAGCUUGCCGUUAUUGAGAACCUUUUUAUAGAAAGUGGGCAUCGCUGCCUCGCUGCCAUUAUGUUUUUUUUUUUCGUAAAAUCUUUCCAGAUUUUUAAAUAUUUAUUUAUUUGACAGAGAGCAAAGAGAACACAAGCAAGGGGCGGGGCAGAGGGAGAGGGAGAAGCAGACUCC